rnacentral:rRNA from 1 species
CUCCCUACGGGACGCAGCAGUGGGGGAUAUUGCACAAUGGGGGGAACCCUGAUGCAGCGACGCCGCGUGAGUGAAGAAGUAUCUCGGUAUGUAAAGCUCUAUCAGCAGGGAAGAAGCAAGACGGUACCUGACUAAGAAGCCCCGGCUAACUACGUGCCAGCAGCCGCGGUAAUACGUAGGGGGCGAGCGUUAUCCGGAUUUACUGGGUGUAAAGGGAGCGUGGACGGAGGAGCAAGUCUGAUGUGAAAAUCCGGGGCCCAACCCCGGAGCUGCAUUGGAAACUGUUUAUCUAGAGUGUCGGAGAG